rnacentral:rRNA from 1 species
AAUACAUGCAAGUCGAGCGGACAGAUGGGAGCUUGCUCCCUGAUGUUAGCGGCGGACGGGUGAGUAACACGUGGGUAACCUGCCUGUAAGACUGGGAUAACUCCGGGAAACCGGGGCUAAUACCGGAUGCUUGAUUGAACCGCAUGGUUCAAUUAUAAAAGGUGGCUUUUAGCUACCACUUACAGAUGGACCCGCGGCGCAUUAGCUAGUUGGUGAGGUAACGGCUCACCAAGGCAACGAUGCGUAGCCGACCUGAGAGGGUGAUCGGCCACACUGGGACUGAGACACGGCCCAAACUCCUACGGGAGGCAGCAGUAGGGAAUCUUCCGCAAUGGACGAAAGUCUGACGGAGCAACGCCGCGUGAGUGAUGAAGGUUUUCGGAUCGUAAAACUCUGUUGUUAGGGAAGAACAAGUACCGUUCGAAUAGGGCGGUACCUUGACGGUACCUAACCAGAAAGCCACGGCUAACUACGUGCCAGCAGCCGCGGUAAUACGUAGGUGGCAAGCGUUGUCCGGAAUUAUUGGGCGUAAAGCGCGCGCAGGCGGUUUCUUAAGUCUGAUGUGAAAGCCCCCGGCUCAACCGGGGAGGGUCAUUGGAAACUGGGGAACUUGAGUGCAGAAGAGGAGAGUGGAAUUCCACGUGUAGCGGUGAAAUGCGUAGAGAUGUGGAGGAACACCAGUGGCGAAGGCGACUCUCUGGUCUGUAACUGACGCUGAGGCGCGAAAGCGUGGGGAGCGAACAGGAUUAGAUACCCUGGUAGUCCACGCCGUAAACGAUGAGUGCUAAGUGUUAGAGGGUUUCCGCCCUUUAGUGCUGCAGCAAACGCAUUAAGCACUCCGCCUGGGGGAGUACGGUCGCAAGACUGAAACUCAAAGGAAUUGACGGGGGCCCGCACAAGCGGUGAGCAUGUGGUUUAAUUCGAAGCAACGCGAAGAACCUUACCAGGUCUUGACAUC